GCCCGGCCUCCCGCCCGCUCGCCGCCUGGCUCGGCGCUCCUUCGCCCCGAGUUCUCCAGCCCCUGGAUCCCGGGCUCGCGGGGGCGCGGAGAAGAGGACCGAGGAAAGGUGGUCUCCCAUCCAAGUACUAACCAGGCCCGACCCUGCUUAGCUCCCGAGAUCAGACGGGAUCGGGCACGUUCAGGUUGGCGUGGCCGUAGAGCCCCUCGUUUUCUGAAGAGGCUCUUCCAAGAGCCCCAGAACUUAUGAGGCUGCCGGGGUCCCAGCAUCCGAGAGGCCACUGAUCGAGGUCAUUUUCUUUUCCUGAACAUGGGGAGGCCAUCAUAUCAGUGAACUACUAGAUUCGGUUGGCCACUUUGAGACCCGACAACAUCCAACUCCCCAUCAAACAGACAAACAAACAAAGAAACAAAACUCUGAACUUCAGGCCGGUGACGGGCACUGGAAGGAAGCGUCGCCUCCCUGUGAUGGAGCUUGCAGGUGGCCGAGCCUGGUGGAUGCUCAGGUAUCUCGUCAGAAUUGCACUGUGAAGCACGAGGUCAUCACCACCUUUCCCGGUGAGGAAACCGAGGUCCUGGCAGGUUAACUGCCCAGGCCUCACGGCUCACUGUGGCCAUGAUCAGAGUAGGUUAGAGCAGGUCCCUUUGUCCCCUCCGGAGGAAGGGAAGACAGAUGCACAGCAAAUCCCAUCCUGCAUGGGGGUGCUCCAGCAUCAGCCUCACACUUCCUGUCCCCUGUCCAGCCCCAGCACCUCAAAGUAUGUACCGCACUCCUUCUCCUGUUCUAAGUGACACAUUUGACGAGCAGGUCAGCUUCCUGCCCCUCGGCUGGGGACCCACGUAGCCGCCCAGGUUCCCCGGAAGACCAAAGGCAGGAGCGCUGGGCCUGGUGGGGACCAACUGGGCCGUCUCCACCUGUGCUCGCUUCUCGGAUUCUGUCUUUUCUCUCUGGGCAGCAUCAUCUGGAAAAGUCCCUGUCAUCUGGGAGUGGAAAGAUGCACGCUUCCGGAGCCCACUUGGCUGGGUCAGCGAGGGACCCUCGGUGGAGAGACUGUUCCUGGCUUUCGGCUGGUUUGUUCCACACACAGGCAUGUCGGACCUUCCCCCACCUUCCCCCAUCCCUGAUGGAUGUCCCUACGGAGCGAGGACAUAUGCCCUCUGGCUGGGAGUCCUACAGGUAAUAAUUUCUUCUGGAUAGUGACAAAGAGACCAGCAGUUUGUGACAGAUGCGGCUUUUGUGUAAAAGGCGAUUCUCGCGCCUUUUCCUGAAGAAUGCUUCUAUGACGCCUCGCCGGCCUUUCAACCCUGUUGUCAUGUUCCUUGAUCUGAGGCCUGCUCUGCCACUACUCAGAGCUCCCUCAGCCACACAGGAGCCACUUCCUGGUGUCCCUUUGCCCCUGAAGUCAUUGGCACAGGGAAAGCAGCCCUCUCUCCUCCUGGAGACCCUCCUUUUAAUCAAUGCAGCCCGUUUGACUUGCAGCGAGUUAGUCUGAAACAUGUCUGCAGGGGAAACAAGGCCACCAGGACGUCAGAAUUUCCCUUCUUGAGAUGAAGGAGGGAUCGUGCUGGGCUCCUGUCGGCGAGAACGUGCCUUUCAGGUUCCUGAGCUGGCGGCCAUCACCCUCGAGCCCCUCGGGCAUUGUUUUAGGACUCACUGAACGCUGAGGGAAGUUGGAGUAAGGAUGGGGGAAAGCUUCGAGGAAAAGACCGCAAGCUGCCCUUGAACUCCUGAACAGCGUGAAGCACCGUGGGGACACGGCCCGCCAUUUUUGCAAAGGGCCCCGGCUUGCCCUCUGCUCAGGGGGCCUAGUGUGUGGUGACAUUUCAA